CCUCCCAAAGUGCUGGGAUUACAGGCGUGAGCCACUGCGCCUGGCCCUAUUUCUUACAUAUAAAAUUUUCUCAGUCUCCUUAAACAGCCAUAUCACAGAACACUCAAGAGUUCUGUGUUCUUGUCACAGGACACUCUUUAAUCUGUCUGUUGGAAGGAAAGAGUGACCACCACUUAGGAUAUAUCCUAAAAGCAACUUUGCUUUCUACAGAAUGAACUAGGCUCCCAUCUAGUUUGGAAAAUUUGAUCCCAUUUAAGGCUUUGAAUCAAUGCUCAUGCCUGUGGCUUCAGAUGUGACUGAUAAUCUUAAAAAGAGGUAUUAUCCCAGCCUCCUUGGUGUUGUAGUUUGCCAGGUCCAAGGUAAUCAUACUGUUUAGAUACCACACUUGAGUAUAUGCAUUACGGGUAGUAAAGCUGACAUAUAAGGAGUUAAGAAGAAAGAAAUCUGCCAGUGCCAGUUCCUAGUGUGCCAUUGGCACUCAGUGCUCUUAGAUGGCCCCUCGAUUGUCCCAGCCAGAGAACCAGCCUUAGCUGCUCACUUCCCAUGACUUGUUCUAGCCCUCUUGACACAUAAACUCUCUUGUCUUCUGUUCUCAUGUCCCUAGAGCUUAGGAUCCUGCUCAUAUCAUAAAGAAUACAGAAAGAAGGACACUCUCAACUGCCAGCUACCAAGGAGACCCCACACUGCCACUUCUCAAUUUAUACCAACCACAUCAUCUUCAUUAGCACCCACCCUUACCCUCUUCUCUUUUAUAAUUAAUGAAGCAUAUGUCUUCUGGCCAUAAGCAAGAUUCUCUCCACCUAAGUCUUAGAGUCGGGAAUGACAUUGGCAUACUCAUGGCUUGUAUCUCUUUGCCAGGUUUUCAUAUCUGGCCUGUCAAUUCAGUCAGUCCUCUACAGCUGCAUUUAUUUUUAUUUUUAUUUUUAUUUUAUUUUGAGAUGGAGUGUCGCUCUGUCGCCCAAGCUGGAGUACAGUGGUGUGAUCUCGGCUCACUGCAACCUCCAUCUCCUGGGUUCAAGCGAUUCUCCUGCCUCAGCCUCCCAAGUAGCUGGGAUUACAUGUGCCUGCCACCAUGCCCGGCUAAUGUUUUGUAUUUUUAGUAGAGACAGGGUUUCACCAUGUUAGCCAGGAUGGUCUCAAUCUCCUGAUCUCGUGAUCUGCUCACCUCGGCCUCCCAAAGUGCUGGGAUUACAGGCAUGAGCCACUCGUGCCCAGCCACAGCUGCAUUUAUUAAUGCUACAAGAGACCUACCUCUAGUUGCUAAACUAUUAGGCCCUCUUCAGUCAAUUGAUCACAUCCUCAAUUAUACAGCUUUUUUUUUCUUUCCCACACCUUUCUUGCUUCCACAGAUUAAAUUUAAUUGUCCUUUUAGAGCUGUUAAAAUAGAAGGAUCAUUUCCACCUAACCCCCCUGCCCAGUUCUGUGCAGGAUAAAUAGCUUAAGAAAACUCAGCCUGCUGCAUCCAAAUCCCCACACUGCACCAGCCUGGUCACUAUCACAUGGACCCCAUUCUAGUGUGUCAGUAUCUUUCCUUAAGGGGGCCACACAAUAAAAUAAAUGUUUGGUUCCAUGAGUGGCCCCACCAGUGCCAUGGAGGUCAGUGCUGUCUCCUCCUUGGGAAUUUGUGUUGCUGUCCCCAAGUGACAACCAUCCAGCAGGUUCACUCUCAGAGCUCCAACCUGGCCAUGGCUACAUUUGGAAAAGAAAUUAAACAUUUCUCUAAAUAUUGGAAAAGCAGAGCCCGAUUGCCCUUUUCUCAACUUUGUUUCUUUUAAUCUAAACUGCAAACACAGGUCACACUUUGUGAAGAGAAAUCUCAUUUGUGUCUCUGGGCACUGCUUUGGGAUUCAGAACUUAGGUUCUUAAGAUUUAUGACAGACUGAUGCUGUGAAAUCAGUUGUUCCUGGCUGCAAAUCAUGAAAUCAGCACCGAGUUGGCCAUAAAAAAUGAAAGUUUUAUGGUAAGUGGUUUAAGAAAAAUGCAGAAUAUGAGUCCUUUGUGAUGUAUAUGUUUUAGAGCAGCAAUUCCCUAUUUUUAAUUUUUUUUGAAAACAUUCUCCAUUGCCAUAGUAGGAAAACAUCAUGAAGUAACUUCAUUGAAAACAGCUAUGUAUAUAGAAUAGCAUAUAAUGGUUCUGUCAGACUUAUUUUCCUACUAGCUGAAGCAUAAAUGUAGGAUGAUGAUUUUUUUUCCUGAGGAAUUAGAUUUUAUUAAAAUAGUUGCUUUGUAUCUCAUUCAGCCUUGAAGUCAAAGCAAUGGGAUCCUACAUAAAUGAAAUUUGUUGAUCUAGUGCAAGCUAAUACAGAAAUCAAUUUCAAUUUCCUUUGGAUGUACUAUUAGUGUUUAUCUGAUGGUGGAUUUGUGUUGUUUUAAGUGAUAGCUAUAACAACCAAAAAUACUGAUUAGAUACUAGGAGCCAUUCUUGAUCUCAAUUCAGAAAGAGUGUGGCAUUAUCCUUUUUGUGUAUAAUGAAUUGGUUCUGUAUCACAGUUUUUAAUUGAUCAUUCCCAAUAUUAAGUUCCUCCAAAAGUUUAAUAAUCUUUUUUUCUGUGGCAUUCAUUAUCAGAUGAGGAUUGAGAUAAUCCAUCCUUAUGAUGGCCUUCCAUGACUUCAGCUAAUGGGACUAUGUGUUUUGUGGAACAUACCUAAAUUGCUAGGGUUAAAACAGCUCAUUUGGAUAAUUACAGUUGGUCUCUCUUAAUAGGCCUGUGAUUUCAUUCUAUGUUCAAUUAGACGAAUACUUAACUAUGACUUCAUGAUGAAGGGAUAAAGGCAUGGUUUUAAACCGAACUCCUCUGAGGGACUGGAGGCCUUUUCCCUAUGACUAGAUCUUGAGAGUGUUACCAGAGGUUCAAGGUCACACAGCUGCCCUGAAACUUGGGAUGUUGGCUGUUCAAAUGUGUUUGUUCGUGGCAGGUGCCACAUCGGCACAGGUGACUUAGAGUGUCACUGACAAUUUGUGGGGCUUCUGCCUAUGGUGGUGUACAUCUCUCGGAUCCAACUCACUGCGGCACUGGCAUCACUCUGAUUUGACUGGUCCCCCUGGAGUGAGGCAGUGCGUGGCUUAUAUGCUGUACACAGACAGCCAUGCUUUCUUGUCUUCAUAUCUCCCUCCACCCUACUUUUUCCCUCGAGCUUGAAUUUGGGAAGCCUUUUCGUACAGGAAGGACCUGAUGGAGGUCCUGAGUGACAAAUUCCCCAAACCUACUUCAUGACUCUGGGGGCCAAAGGGACCUGAAAUUCAGACUAAAAUACUUGACAUAGAAACAUCUCCCUCUUUCUCAUAUCCCAUCUCACACCUCUCCUUGGGCCCCUUCCCCUCCAGCUCAUCUCCAGGAUGCAGUGCAUUUGUUCUGCCCUGCCCCGAGUGUCACCCCCCUUCACUUUUAUUUCAUUUCCCUAAAAUCAACUCUAGGUUCCUCCUGCUUAUAGAAGCAUGGGUAUGUUAUCAUGGAUGCUAAACUUGGGUUAACAACAGCUUUAGGAUAUAUCAUGUAGCAAAUUCAUUCGCAGGAUUGCAUGGGCACAGCUGUUGUAAAUGCCACCUUCAUUUUAGGAUGAUACGGAGUAUUUGAAUACACAGAUCAUCCAUUUCAAACCUCCGCUUAGGGUUCCCUUUAUUAUAUCUUAUUGCUUAGUGGAUAUAAAUUAGUGUAUUUUUGCCACUGUGGAUGAAUUUUCAUGGGCCUGUGUUUCCAAGAAGGGACACCACCUUAGGCAUUAUUUCAUGAAAUAAUAAUAAGCACUACUGUUUUUUGAAUACUUACCAAGUGUCAGGUGCUGAAUGAUAAGUUUACAAAAUAUUUUCUGACUUAUUUUUGCCUCACAUACUAAUAUAAGGAGGGGGUGAUAUAAUCUUCAUUUAUAGAUGAAGCACUGGAAGCUUGUCCACGUUUGUUCUGACUUCUGCGUUUAGGGUCUUUUGUCUCACGUUACAAUCCACGCCCAGCCCUUACUGAUAUUUCCAGGCAUUCAGCCAUCUAUUUGAUAAUUAUCCUUCUCCAUAGAAGCACAGACAGGAGCUGCUUCUUGACUUUGCUGAUGGCUCUUUCUGUCCAUGGAUGUGAGCCCGAGUUGUGCCUGUGGCGUGAUGACCCACAAAUGUUGGCCUAGGUCCUCAUGAUGUGCACAGGGCAGCCUCCCAUGCUUUCUAGCUGUCCUGCUGUGGUUUUGCUUCACUUGGUUACAGAUGUCAACCAGAUUGACUGAUGAAGAAACAUAGUGAAGAUGACAUUUAUGACUUGUCUGAGAGAUCCAGGAGAAAGGUGGGUGUUUAGCAGCUUACUGAUGUAUAAAGACAAAAUUCGAAAAAAACAAAAAACAAAAAAAAACAACUAUUAAAGGACCCCAGUGGAGAAUAACCACAUGCUUAAGUUAUUGUGUGAUCUAGAUAUGGGGAAGUGUGGACAAAUUUGAGAAAGGGAAGUUGCCCAGGCAGCAUUUUUUUUUUCCUAAAAUAUGCCCUUUGAUAUGUGGCUGGUGGGUUCAGUGGUUAGUGUACAGUGUGUACUGUGUUUGAGUCCUAUGUAGACCAAGCUGCUUUUCUGUAUCAAGACCAAACUUGGACAAACUCUCCAUGAGUGCACAUGGUCAGGAUCUGUGUUCAGCAAAAUUUUGUUGUCAGUAAGACUGGCCAUUGCCUAAGUCCAUUUGGGCUGCCAUAAUAAAAUAUCUUUGACCAGGCGAUUUAUAAACAACAGAAGUUUAUUGCUCACAGUUCCGGAAUCUGGUAGGUUCAAAAUCAAGGGACCAGCAGAUUUGUUGUCUGAUGAGGGCUCAUUCUCUGCUUCAUAGAUAGUGUCUUCUGGCUGUGUUUUCAUAUGGUGGAAGGAGUGAACAAGCUCCCUCAGGCCUCUUUUACAUGGGCACUAAUACCAUUCAUGAGGUCUCUGCCUUUAUGACCUAAUCAUCUUCCAAAAGCCUGACCUCCCAAAACCACUGCACCAAGAAUUAUGUUUCAACAUAUGAAUCUGAUGAUGGGGAGAAAGCCACAAGAAGAGAUGUUUUCACUCUUCUCCUGGGCAUUGUCAUGUGGCCACAAGGCUUGGAACCACUGCAGCUAUUUUGUUGUUAUCCAGAGGAAGAUGAAGCUCACAUAAGGAAAUCACAGAGAAUUCCAGGGAUCCAAAACUGGAGCUACUAGGUAGAGUUCAUUCCCAAAGCUUGCUCUACCUUUGUACUUUUUAUUCUGUCAGCCAAUAAAGAUUCUCAUUCUUUA